rnacentral:lncRNA from 1 species
AUGGGUUGGAUGUUGUGGGUUGUAGUGUUGCUGUGGGGUGUUGGUGUGGGGCAGGGCGGGUGUUGGCACGGAUUGGGUGUUGUCAUGGGUUGGGGUGUUGUCACCAGUUGGGGUGUUGUGUUGCUGCGUGGUGUGGUGGUGUUGUGGGGCGGGGUGUUGUCAUGGCUUGGGGGGUUGUGGGGCGGGGUGUUGCUGUGGGUUGGGUGUUGUCAUGGGUUGGGGUGUUGUGUUGUCGUGGGUUGGGGUGUGGUGUUGUGGGAUAGGUGUUGUCAUGGGUUGGGUGUUGUUGUGGGUUGGAGUGUUGUGUUGCUGUGGGGUGUUGUGUUGCUGUGGGUUGGGUGUUGUCACCAGUUGUGUUGUGUUGCUGUGGGGUGUGAUGUUGUCAUGGGUGGGGUGUUGUCACCAGUUGGGGUGUUGUGUUGCUGUGGGAUGGGUGUUGUCAUGGGAUGGGUGUUGUUGUGGGGUGUUGUGUUGUCAUGGGUUGGGCUGUUGUGUUGUUGUGGGUUGGGUGUUGUUGUGGGUUGGGUGUUGUGUUCUUGUGGGUUGGGGUGUUGUGUUGCUGUGGGCUGUGGUGUUGUCGUGGGUUGGGUUUUGUUGUGGGUUGGGGUGUUGUCGUGGGUUGGGUGUUGCUGUGGGGUGUGGUGUUGUCAUGAGUUGGGUGUUGUUGUGGGUUGGGUGUUGUCAUGGGUUGGGUGUUGUCACCAGUUGGGGUGUUGUGUUGCUGUGGGAUGGGUGUUGCCAUGGGAUGGGUGUUGCCAUGGGAUGGGUGUUGCCAUGGGAUGGGUGUUGUCAUGGGUUGGGUGUUGUCAUGGGUUGGGUAUUGUCACCAGUUGGGGUGUUGUGUUGCUGUGGGCUGUGGUGUUGUCAUGGGUUGGGGUGUUGUUAUGGGUUGGGGUGUUGUGUUGCUGUGGGUUGGGUGUUGUUGUGGGGUUGGGUGUUGUCACCAGUUGGGGUGUUGUGUUGCUGUGGGGUGUGAUGUUGUCAUGGGUUGGGGUGUUGCCGUGGGUUGGGGUGUUGUGUUGUUAUGGGUUGGGGUGUUUUGUGUUGCUGUGGGGUGUGGUGUUGUCGUGGGUUGGGCGUUGCUGUGGGUUGGGGUGUUGUCGUGGGUUGGGUGUUGUCAUGGGAUGGGGGCUUGUCACCAGUUGGGGUGUUGUGUUGCUGUGGGGUGUGGUGUUGUCAUGAGUUGGGUGUUGUCGGGGGUUGGGGUGUUGUUGUGGGUUGGGUGUUGUCGUGGGUUGGGGUGUUGUGUUGCUGUGGGGUGUGAUGUUGUCAUGGGUUGGGU